rnacentral:rRNA from 1 species
GGGUUGUGAGGUUAAGCGACUAAGCGUACACGGUGGAUGCCCUGGCAGUCAGAGGCGAUGAAGGGCGUGCUAAUCUGCGAUAAGCGCCGGUAAGGUGAUAUGAACCGUUAUAACCGGCGAUACCCGAAUGGGGAAACCCAGUGUGAUUCGUCACACUAUCAUUAACUGAAUCCAUAGGUUAAUGAGGCGAACCGGGGGAACUGAAACAUCUAAGUACCCCGAGGAAAAGAAAUCAACCGAGAUUCCCCCAGUAGCGGCGAGCGAACGGGGAGGAGCCCAGAGCCUGAAUCAGCAUGUGUGUUAGUGGAAGCGUCUGGAAAGGCGCGCGAUACAGGGUGACAGCCCCGUACACAAAAGCGCAUGUGCUGUGAGCUCGAUGAGUAGGGCGGGACACGUGGUAUCCUGUCUGAAUAUGGGGGGACCAUCCUCCAAGGCUAAAUACUCCUGACUGACCGAUAGUGAACCAGUACCGUGAGGGAAAGGCGAAAAGAACCCCGGCGAGGGGAGUGAAAAAGAACCUGAAACCGUGUACGUACAAGCAGUGGGAGCCCCACCACCAAAGCAUUCUCUGGUGUUGAAGGCCCUGCAAAGCAGCAUCGCGGUGGCGGAGCGUCGUUUGCGACGCCCAACACACAAAACAAGCGGUGAGUGCUUUGGGGUGGGGUGACUGCGUACCUUUUGUAUAAUGGGUCAGCGACUUAUAUUCUGUAGCAAGGUUAACCGUAUAGGGGAGCCGGAGGGAAACCGAGUCUUAACCGGGCGUUAAGUUGCAGGGUAUAGACCCGAAACCCGGUGAUCUAGCCAUGGGCAGGUUGAAGGUUGGGUAACACUAACUGGAGGACCGAACCGACUAAUGUUGAAAAAUUAGCGGAUGACCUGUGGCU